UGGCAAGAAGUUAAGAUUGCACAAGUUCAAUCCAUAUGAGUUGGGAUUUGUCAUUAUCCUUGGCUUGUGACUAUGGUUUUGACAAUUCACAUGGAUAAGAACACAUACACCAUUAAAUCUAAGUGUCAUAAGGUUUCUCUUCGAUUCAUGAAAAUGAUGGUAAAGAAACUCAUUCACUAAGUAGAUUUUGAGUAGAUAGCAAUUGUGGGAAUGACAAAAGGUCUAAACAUUAUGAUUACGACAUUCCUCUUCAUAACUGUUUACACCCACAUCUGAGCUAUCUAAGAGAGGUGUAUGAUAUUGGUAAAGUCUUAUCAAGGAAUUCUAGUAUCAAAAAUCUGAACUUUGGUAAGAAAGUCAAUAAUGUAUUGAUUUGUAGAAGUUCAGUUGAUUUCUGGGUACAUGUCAAAGCUAGUGGGAGCAUAAGUGUUAUGUUAAUAAUCAUCAUGUUAGUAGGAGCAUGAUAAUUACGAUAAGUAUUGCAAAUUAGCAAUGUUAAUUAUAGAAAACAGAAGUUUCAAUUCGUGAGCUAUGUUAAUAAUCAUCAUGUUAGUAGGAGCAUGAUAAUUACGAUAAGUAUUGCAAAUUAGCAAUGUUAAUUAUAGAAAACAGAAGUUUCAAUUCGUGAGCUUGCAGGGGUUGAAAAAGUUGUUUUGAUAUAAUUAAGGGAGAGGAAAUUAUACUUCAUCUCAAAUCUAAAAGCUUAGAUUGAGGUCUUAAUCGUAUUUAGUCAAGAAUAUAUAUGAAUUUCAUGUUGGGAUGGCUCAACAUAAGGAAAUUCUAUAUAUGGGUUCAUUAUUUGCGUUCUAAAAUUCGAUUAUGAUUACGACAUCCCUUUUCAUAAUCUGAAUUAUGAGAACUUGGCAAAUAGAAAUGGAAAUAUUAUAGCAAAAGACUGGUUUAGUCUUUAUGUGAGACAUCAUGAAUCGUGUCCUAUAUGCUUCGGAUAUAGGAUCGAUUACAUGUGCUAUAUUCACUCUUUCUAAGUUUUUCCAAAUGCCCGGGGCAUGAAGAAGGGAAAAAGGUCUAGAAAUUGAUAUAACUAAAAUGAUUAAGCAAUUGUUGAGGACAAUCUAAGGUUUACCAAAGAUUAGUUGCUCAAGGACAGUUAGAAGUAUAGUAUUAAUUCUGGAAGGACCAUAUUGACAUAAUCUGUAAGGAGGCAACUCUUGUUCAGAAGUGAUAGUCAAAAUGGAAUAUGGAAAUGCUUCAAAGUUAGAAAGUAUUCAAUCUGUAUGAUUAGGAAACUUAAUGCAAGAAGGAUGUUUCCAAGGAGUUGAUCUCCUUUGGAAUACUCUGUAAUGAUUGUUGCCAAGUCUUUGUGAAUUUGUGCAUAAUCAUUACAAGAGGAUCAAUGCAUAUAAGUUUAGAAUCUAACAGAUUUCAGUAAAUGGCAUGAAUUUGGAAUUCUUGCAUUUGCAGUAAGGAUUUGGGAGUGUGAAAAGAGAAUCAUUGAAGUUAUGUUCAAUUGAUCUAGUUCACAAAGUAAAGAUCAUAGACAAACAUAGUAUGCAUACUUGGUGUGUGGCAUGACUAGUGUUUAAGAAAACAUAGUGUACAUGCUUGGAGCAUGGGACAACUAUUGUUUUAAAUUCAAGAAUAAAGUUGAUAGCUGAAACAGUAUACAAUGAAUAAUGUGUAAUCAUAUGGUGAUAAAUAAAAGGUGUUUUAUUUAUAUUCAUAAGUUCUGAGACCAUAUUGGAUUCAAUUAUUAUUGUGUUUCACUUUGCAUGUUUUGACUUCCAGAAUAAACUAGGUUAUUCUUCCGGAAUGACUAAGUUAUUCAAACCAUCCACAGUCGGUCAUAUGUUGGAAGUAGAUAUGAAUUAAGACUGUCAUGGGUUGGCUUGUAGAGGUCUAAGGUGUUGGACAAAGGGCUACAACACUCAUGAGUGCUCAUAAGUUCUGAGUAUUGGAUUCAACCCGCGCUCAUUGGAAUCACUUCAUGGAUUUUAUCACGAGUGAUCAUGAGACGAUAAUAUCUUAUAUUCUUCAAACCUAGAGAUAUGAGUUGUUACUAUGAGUUGGUUAUACAUUGAUUGCACGAAAACGCAUUGGUAACUCGAUGUUAUAAAACGUGCCUUUGUGUAUGAUUCAACAAGUAGUAGAACAAGCCAUAUGAGUCGAAGUUUAUCCAUUCCUUUUACCUUUAGGAUAAAAGCGAUAUCUAUGGGCCCCUCAAUCAUUUGAUGAUGACAUAUGGAAGUGCUCGGCCGGGCUUGGACUGAUUUGAUUUGUUUAAUUAGUCAGUCGUCAUAAAUCGGAAAUCGGGAAACAACAAAUGGACAGAGAGAAUGAUUAUAAUCCAUGUCUCAGUCCAUAUGAUAUCUAGAAUGGAGGAAUAUAUGAU
rnacentral:lncRNA from 1 species